GACGAACGCUGGCGGCGUGCUUAACACAUGCAAGUCGAACGGUGAGCCCCUGCCUUUCUCGGGUGCUCUAGUGGCGAACGGGUGAGUAACACGUGAGUAACCUGCCCUUGACUCUGGGAUAACUUUUGGAAACUGCGGCUAAUACCGGAUAGGACCUUCUACCGCAUGGUGUGGGGUGGAAAGUUUCGUCGGUGUGGGAUGGACUCGCGGCCUAUCAGCUUGUUGGUGGGGUAGUGGCUUACCAAGGCUUGGACGGGUAGCCGGCCUGAGAGGGUGACCGGCCUGGGACGGAGAGAGAGCCGACACGGACACGGGAGGCAGGAGUGGGGAAUAAUGAAUGAUGGGCGAAAGCAAGACGGAGGAAGGAAGCCUGCGGGAGGAAUGACGGCCUGUUGGAUGCAGACCGCAGUAGGGAAGAAGGGCGCCGGCGUGACGGUACCGGGAGAAAAAGCACCGGCUAACUACGUG
rnacentral:rRNA from 1 species